rnacentral:rRNA from 1 species
AAUAUUGCACAAUGGGCGAAAGCCUGAUGCAGCAACGCCGCGUGAACGAAGAAGGCCUUUGGGUCGUAAAGUUCUGUCCAAGAGGAAGAUAAUGACGGUACUCUUGGAGGAAGCCCCGGCUAACUACGUGCCAGCAGCCGCGGUAACACGUAGGGGGCAAGCGUUAUCCGGAAUUAUUGGGCGUAAAGGGUGCGUAGGCGGCUUCUUAAGCGUGGGGUGAAAUGCAAUAGCUCAACUAUUGUAAGCCUUGCGAACUGGGGAGCUUGAGUGCAGGAGAGGAAAGCGGAAUUCCUAGUGUAGCGGUGAAAUGCGUAGAUAUUAGGAGGAACACCAGUGGCGAAGGCGACUCUCUGGUCUAUAACUGACGCUGAGGUGCGAAAGCGUGGGGAGCAAACA